AUUACCUCUUGACCAAGCUCACAUGUCCUUUUUACAGGGAGUCCUGCAAACUUUCCACGUUGUAAUUGAUAUAUUUUGAAGACUAACUUCAAAUUGGAAAUAGAAAAGAAAGAUUUUUCUACAAAUUUAAGGGUGAUAGUGGAACCUUCCCAAUUAAUGCUGGAGCCCCGGCCUGUUUAAUCAACAGGAAGUCAAUCAUCUCCCUCUUCUGUGAAUUUGUACAAGGGCUCCAGGGGCUGGAUCAGUUCAAGGUC
rnacentral:lncRNA from 1 species